UAAGGAAUAUUGGUCAAUGGGCGGAAGCCUGAACCAGCCAUGCCGCGUGCAGGAUGACUGCCCUAUGGGUUGUAAACUGCUUUUGUCCAGGAAUAAACCUAGAUACGUGUAUCUAGCUGAAUGUACUGGAAGAAUAAGGAUCGGCUAACUCCGUGCCAGCAGCCGCGGUAAUACGGAGGAUCCGAGCGUUAUCCGGAUUUAUUGGGUUUAAAGGGUGCGUAGGCGGCCUAUUAAGUCAGGGGUGAAAUACGGUGGCUCAACCAUCGCAGUGCCUUUGAUACUGAUGGGCUUGAAUCCAUUUGAAGUGGGCGGAAUAAGACAAGUAGCGGUGAAAUGCAUAGAUAUGUCUUAGAACUCCGAUUGCGAAGGCAGCUCACUAAGCUGGUAUUGACGCUGAUGCACGAAAGCGUGGGGAUCGAACAGGAUUAGAUACCCUGGUAGUCCACGCCCUAAACGAUGAUAACUCGAUGUUGGCGAUAGACAGCCAGCGUCCAAGCGAAAGCGUUAAGUUAUCCACCUGGGGAGUACCGCCCGCAAGGGUGAAACUCAAAGGAA
rnacentral:rRNA from 1 species